ensembl:lncRNA
GGGCGAACUCCCAUCUGAGGCCUCAGAUUAUUAUAUUGUAUGCCUGUUAUGUUGUUUGUUUAUGCAUGUUGUGAUGUAUCUUUGUUCGUACUUUUAUUACAAACAUAUAUGACCAGCAAUUGCCUGCAAGUAUUGUGUGCUUUUUGCAUCUAAAUAUCUCAUCUGUCUUAGACGCAAUAUCUGAUAGAGAAAUUGCCACGACACUUACUUAAAGCGUGUGCGCUUACCCAACGUUUCCCAAGGGAGGUGCACUUUAGUAAAGCGAACGUGCAAGUAUAAAACAGACGUGCGCUUUAUAAAGAAAUUCCUCCAGAAAUUGCUUGUUUAUGAAUGUUGUCAAUUGAAGUGGUACAUAUUUAUGUGUAGGGUUCAGAGCUGGGAGUAAGGCACACAUUUGAAGUCACAAGCAAGUCUCAAGUCACUGCCAAUCCAAGUCCAGUCGAGGCCCUUCCCAUGGUCAAGCAAGUCAAAAUUCAGGUCAAACCAUCCAUUGACACGCCACCCAAUCCUUCAUCCAUCUUUAGAAAAGUAUUUAACGUUACCCAAGUUUACUUAAAAUAUUAUUUCAGAGCAUGCCGUUGGUGUAUGAGGUGGUGUAUGUGGUGGAGCAUGAGGUGGUGUACGAGGUGUUUUUUUUUGAGGUGGUGUAUGAGUUGGUGUAUGAGGUCAUGUAUGAGGUGGUGCAUGAGGUGGAGCAUGAGGUGGUGUACCAGUUUUUUUUAGGUGGUGUAUGAUGUCAUGUAUGAGGUGGUGACGAGGUUGUGUAGAGGUCGUGUAUGAGGUGGUGUAUUAGGUCAUGUAUGAAGUGGUGUAUGAGGUGGUGUAUGAGGCUGUGUAUGAGGCGGUGUAUGAGGUUGUGUAGAGUUGGUGCAUGAGGUCAUGUAUGAAGUGGUGUGAGGUCAUGUAUUAGUUGGUGAAGAGGUGGUGUAUGAGGUCAUGUAGAGGUGGUGUACGAGGUGGUGUAGAGGUCAUGCAUGAGGUGGUGUACGAGGUGGUGUAUGAGGUUAUGUAGAGGUGGUGUAUGAGGUGGUGCAGAGAGCAGAAUCAGAAUGUUGCCUGUACUCAAGUAUCAGAAUGUAGUCUGUACUAAAGUAAACACACAGGAGUAAGUGAUGGGCAUAGUAGGCUACUUGUAAUCUAAAGAAACCUAUCCUUGCACUACUCCACUGAAUAACUGGAGGUGGCGGAUCUGACGACAAAUGACAAAUUAACCAGCCUUCAGACUUUGAUAGCUGGUUGCACAAAACUGAAUUCUCAGGAUGGGUUUGUAGGUUGUGUGUAUUCAUCGAUCAUGGGUAAUAAUGUUUAGAAUCAAUGAAUUUAAGGUAGAGUUGCGACCUAUAGGUAGAGUUGCAACCUAUUCAUUGUGUUUUCAUUUCAAGUAUGUAUGUAAAUUAUGUUCUUCUAAUCAUAUCAGAUUUUAAUGAUUACAG